rnacentral:rRNA from 1 species
UACGUAGGUGGCGAGCGUUGUCCGGAUUUACUGGGCGUAAAGCGCGCGCAGGCGGACUGAUCAGUCUGGGGUGAAAUCUCACGGCUCAACUGUGAGCGGUCCCUGGAUACUGUCAGCCUUGAGAUGUCUAGAGGAGAGUGGAAUUCCCGGUGUAGCGGUGAAAUGCGCAGAUAUCGGGAAGAACACCCGUGGCUAAGGCGGCUCUCUAGUACGGUACUGACGCUGAGACGCGAAAGCGUGGGGAGCGAACAGG